CUUUAUCAAUGCCAAACUGUUCGCGAGGGCAGGACGGAAAGCCACGGGACUCUUAUGAGGUUAGAGUAAGCCGGGUUGCACAU
rnacentral:ncRNA from 1 species